rnacentral:rRNA from 1 species
UACAGAGGGUGCGAGCGUUAAUCGGAAUUACUGGGCGUAAAGCGCACGUAGGCGGCUCAGUAAGUCGGGUGUGAAACCCUCAGGCUCAACCUGGGGACGCCACUCGAUACUGCUGUGGCUAGAGUCCAGUAGAGGAGUGUGGAAUUCCCGGUGUAGCGGUGAAAUGCGCAGAUAUCGGGAGGAACACCAACGGCGAAGGCAGCACUCUGGGCUGGAACUGACGCUGAGGAGCGAAAGCGUGGGUAGCAAACAGG